UUUUUUUUUUUUUUUUGGUAGGAAUUAAUUCUAAGAUAUAUAUGAAAUCUAAAUAAGGAUUUAGAAUAUCCAAAACAAUUCUGAAAAAGAAGAUUAAAGCUUUAGGACUUAACUACCUAACUUCUAUCCUUACUGUAAAGCUACAAUAAUCAACACAGUGUGAUAUUGGCAAAAAGACAGACACACAGAUAAUGAAAUAGGAUGAACCCAGAACAACUCUCACAUUCAUGGUCAUCUGAAUUUCAACAACUGUGCCACUGCAAUUCAAUGGGGAAGGAAUGGUCUUUUUAACAUAUGAUGCUGGAACAUGUCAAUAAUCACAUGCAAAAAUAAAUAAGUAUAAAUGUUUCAGAAUUUACAAAAAAAAACUUAAAAUCAAUCAUAGCUGGAAUUAUAAAACUAAAACUUCAAAACUUCUACGAGGCAUAGGAAAAAAUCUUGUGACCCUAGAUUAGGUAAAGAAUUCUUAAAUAGGACAAUAAAGGAGCAAUCCAUUAAAAAACCAAAAAACGGAAAAAUUGGACUUCAUCAAAUUCUUCAAGUCAUAACUUAGAUAAAAGACAAGCCCCAGAAUAGAAGAAAAUAUUUACAAAUCAUAUACAUGAUAAAGAAAUAGUAUCUAACAUAUUAAAACCCUGAGACCUAAAGAAUAAGAAGAUAAAAUAAUUUUUUUAACAGGCUAAAGAUCUGAAGACAUUUCACCAAAGAUACAUGAUUAUUUAGUAAACAUACAAAAAGAUGCUCACCAUCUAUCCCUAAUAGAGAAAUCCAAAUAAAACCACAAUGAGAUUCCACUAUACAACUCACUAGACUACCUAUAACUUUAAAAAAACUAAAAAAUCCAAAGUUUGGCAGGAUAGAGAGAAAUUGAAACCCUUAUACAUUGUUGAUAGGACUAUAAAAUGCCACAGCCACUUUGGAAAACAGCUUGGCAGUUUCUUAACAGCAUACUCAUAUAUUUAAUCACAUGACCCAACAAUUUCAUUCCUGGUAUCUAACCAAGAGGAAUGAAAACAUGGGUCAUUUGUGUGCAAAUGUUUAUAGCAGCAUCAAUCAUAAUAGCCAAAAACUGUAAACAAUCCAAAUAUCUAUCAACUGGUGAAGGGAUAAGCUUAAAGUAGUAACCAAAAUAAAAUAAAUAAAAAUUAAUAAUUCAUGCAAUAAGGAUAAACCUAAGAAACAUAAUGCUAGUGAAGGAAGCUAGAUAUAAAAGACAUAUUUUUAUGAUUUUGUUUAUAUGUAAAAUGUCUAGAAAAGUCAAAAUUAUAUAGACAGAAAGCAGGUCGUCUCCUGGGACAGCAGAAGGGAACAGAAAUUGACUGCAAAAAAUGUUCUACAGCUGGACUGUGGUGAUGGUUGCACAUCUAAACAAACGGACUCAAAAUCAUCAUACUGAAUGCUUAGAAUGAGUGAAUUGUGUAGUAUGUAAACUAUACCUCAAUAAGGCCAUAAAAAAUAAAAAGGAUACAUUCUACAUAGAACCACAAAUUGUCUUAAAAUGAAACUGGGGUUAAAAUAAAUUGCCAUUUCUCCCAUUAUUUAAAAUAAUCAUCAUAAAGAUAAACCUAAUGUGUAACAAUUACUCUUUGGAGAAUGCAAAAGUAGUUUUAAGAGGACUAUUCACCUGUCUCAUAUACUGCUGGUGGAAGGGUAAAAUGGUACAACCGCUAAAGAGAACAGUUUGGGAGUUCCUUAAAAGUUAAAUAGAUAAUUACCAUAUAACCCAGAAAUUCUAACCCCUAAGGUAUAAAUAGAAAAGAAAUGAAAACAUGUCCAUGAAAAAAAUCUGUAUAUGCAUGCUCAUAACUGCAUUAUUCAUGAUAGCUAAAACCUGGAAACAAUCUAAGUGUCUAUCAGAUGAAUGGGCAAACAAAAUAUGAUAUACUCAAUACAAAAGAUAACAUCCAGCCAAUGAAAAGGGAUGAAGUACUGAUAAACACUACAACACAGAUGAACCUUGAAAAUUACUAUACUGAGUGAAAGAAGCCAGUCACAAAAAAAAGACAUGUACUGUAUGAUUCCAUUUAUGUGAAAUGUCCAGAACAGGCAAAUUCAAAAACAGAAAAUAGAUUCACAGCUGUCUAAGGACUGGGAGUGGGGAAGGAAAGGCAUGGGUAGUGACUGCUAAUGGGUGUGGGAUUCUUUGUAGGAUCAUAAAAAUGUUCAAAAAUUAGAUGGUGGUAUUGGUUGCAUACCUGCAUGACUAUAAAGAACAGUUGAAACUGAUGAAUUUUAUUGUAUGUGAACUGUAUCUCAAUAAAUUUAUUUAAAAAGAUGAUUAUUGUGCUCACUUCAACUACUAAAAUCAGAACAAUACAGAGAAGAUUAGAAUGGCUCCUGCAGAAGGAUGACACGCAAAUUCGUGAAACGCUCCAUAUUAAAAAAAAAGAGAUGGAUUAUUAACCUAGGAUUUAUUAAAAUAUCAAAAAUAAUUUCAGAGUAAAAUUCUGGAUUUCUAAUCUUGUUUAUUUGUUUUUCAGCAUUUCUAACAUUUACUUACACAAGUAUAUUCAUGUUUAGUUCAUUGUGGCUAAAUAUAAAUCACUUCUAAAAAAUCAACUGCAUUUUUACACACUAGUAACAAACAGAAAAUAACAUUUUAAAAACAUCCAACAAAAGGGGCACCUGGGUGGCUCAGUCCUUAAGCAUCUGCCUUUGGUUUAGGUCAUGAUCUCAUGGUCCUGGGAUUGAGCCCCACAGGGGCUCCCUGCUCAGAGUGGAGCCUGUUUCUCCCUCUCCCUGUGCCCUUCCACCCUGCUUGUGUUCUCUCUUAGUAUCUCUCUCUCUCAAAUAAAUAAAUAAAAUCUUAAAAAACAAAAACAAAAAACAAUCCAACAACAAAACGUACCUGAAGAAUAAAAGUUAACUUGAAAAUAUAUCAGAAGACAUUAAGUACAACCAAAAUAAAUGGGAGGACAUACCAUAUUCAUGAUUGAAAGACUCAGUAUCACAAAAUCACAAUUCUGUGAUACAUUUAAUGCAAUGCCAAUCAAAGUCCAAAAGGUUUUAUAAGUGGAGUAGCAAAAGCCCAAACAGACAAGCCAUCCAGCCAGAAACAGAAUAGAGUAGGGAACUUGCUAUAUCUACACUAAGAUUUAUUAUAAAGCUGUACUAAUGAAAUUAGUGUGCUUCCAGAAAAGAGACAUACUGACUGCUAGAGAAGAAACACACCUUCAUAUAGAACAAAAACAAUAUUUCACAAAGGUCAUAACAUUGCAGAUCACUGAAGGAAAGAGGAAUCAUUCAACAGUGCUGAACAAACUGGUUAUUUUUGGGGGGGAAGAAAUUGGAUCCCUCCUAUGUAAAAAUUCCAUAGGGAUUAAAAUUUUAAAUAGAGAAGACAAGUCUUUAAUUUUUUUUUUUAAGAUUUUAUGUAUUUAUUCAUUAGAGGCUCAGAGAGAGAGAGAGAGAGAGGCAGAGACACAGGCAGAGGGAGAAGCAGGCUCCCUGUGGGGAGCCUGAUGCAGAACUGAAUUCCAGAAACCUUGGAUCAUGACUUGAGCUGAAGGCAGAGACACUCAACCACUGAGCCACCCAAGUACUCCAAGUCUUUAAUAUUUUUAAAUAAAACUUAAAGGACUAUCAUUAUGAACGGAGUAUGGAAGGUUUAAAACUUAAAACACAGAAAGGGCUAACUAUAAAUAUAUGAAUAAUAAAUUCAACUACCUUAUCAUUAAAAACUUCCACUCAUCAACAAAUACAACAAGAAAAAAUAAAGAAGAUUAAAUACAAUACCACCAAGCACAUUGCCAAAAACAAAAACAAAAACAAAAAACGAAAAAACCACUACAGUAUCCAGAAUGUACGCGUGUGUGUAUAUCCUUUAACAUUUUAUUUAAAAAUAGGAAAAGCGUACGGGUGCCUGGGUAGUCAUUUGGUUAAGCAUCCAACUCUUAACUUCAGCUCAGGUCAUAAUCUCAGGGUCAGGAGAUCGAGCCCUGUGUAGGACUCCAUGCUCAGUGGGGAGUUUGCUUCAGAUAUUCUUCCUCUCAGGCUGCUCCCUCUGCUCACACAUACACACUCUCACUCUCUAAAAUAAAUAAAUAAAAUCUUUAAAUAAAAAUAAAAAUAGGCAAAAUACAAAAAAGUAUCCCUCAUGAAGGGUAUCAGGGUCUGAGCAGGAUGAGGCAGGCACUCAAGCUGGAAAGGAGGGAACAGUGUGACCUGGGAGUCAGAGCCCAA
rnacentral:lncRNA from 1 species